rnacentral:rRNA from 1 species
GCAGAGACUCAAUCUGGAGAUGUUUCUGCCUAUAUUUCUACUAAUGUAAUCUCCAUUACAGAUGGACAAAUAUUCUUAUCUGCGGAUCUAUCCAAUGACGGAAUUCGACCCGCUAUUAAUGUGGGUAUUUCUGUUUCCAGAGUAGGAUCCGCGGCUCAAAUUAAAGCCAUGAAACAAGUAGCUGGCAAAUCAAAAUUGGAACUAGCUCAAUUCGCAGAGUUACAAGCCUUUGCACAAUUCGCCUCUGCUCUCGAUAAAACAAGUUAGAAUCAAUUGGCAACGGGUCGACGAUUAAGGGAAUUGCUUAAAUAAUCCCAGGCAAAUCCUCUCCCAGUGGAAGAGCAGAUAGCUACUAUUUAUACCGGAACAAGAGAAUAUCUUGAUUCGUUAGAAAUUGAACAGGUAAAGAAAUAG